AUGUAGCACUGCCCUGCCUGGCUUGUAAUAGGGAAUUCUAAUAAAGAAUAUCAGCUUAGCUUUCAGGGAGGGCUGGUGAUGGUCACACACAUGCACUAAAUAUUAAAAUAUUUGGCUGCAAGACUAAAAUAUGCAUCGAUCUCAUACAAUGUUGACACCUCUUUUGUGGAGUUAAACAAUGAGAACAAAUGCAGACAAAAAAAAAGAAGUUUCAAUGUGAAAUUUUUAUUUUUUCACAUUUUCAAACUUAUAAACAUAUCAAUUUUGACCUGCAGGACGACACGAGGGUUAAUACAGUCUAAUCUUUCCUCUUAUAACAUGGUGUCACCUUAAAUCAUCUUAAAUCACUGUGCCUCGAAAUAUGUAAAUACAGUAUUGUAUAUGACUUUUAAUACAUUUAGUAUCUCUAUAGAUUUUUAAAUUAGAAGUGUUUUUUAUUUUUAUUGUACUGUAUUGUACAGAAAGUAACUGUAAUUUCCCUUGGGAUAAAUAAAGUAUCUAUCUAUCAAUCUUUCUAUCUUUCUAUCUAUCUAUCUAUCUAUCUAUCCAUCUAUCCAUCUAUCUAUCUAUCUAUCUAUCUAUCUAUCUAUCUAUCUAUCUAUCUAUCUAUCUAUCUAUCUAUCUAUCUAUCUAUCUAUCUAUCUAUCUAUCUAUCUAUCUAUCUAUCUAUCUAUCUAUCUAUCUAUCUAUCUAUCUAUCUAUCUAUCUAUCUAUCCAUCUAUCUACUGAGCUACAGUUUUAGUUGGUAAAUUUACUUAGAGGGACAAAAUGAAUUUGAAGUUUUUUUCAGUUGUUUCUAUUGUGAAGAUGUCAUGGUACAAAAAUAGCCACAUAGUUCCCCACAGCUUCUCUCCUCUUGUGACCCAGAAACUGUUCUCUUUCCACCAUCGUGGAGGAUCUUCCAAUUACUUAAAUGGACCUUGAUGAGAUGAGGAAAGAGGAGAGUUCAGGAGGAGCUUAGAGGGAGGACACACACGUUUAUCUUAAGUUAAAGUCAUUUAUCAAGUGGGAUGACGUAUAAAUGCUGCACCUUAGUGGGUGUUGGUUGGAUUGGACCAGUGAUGCAGCUGUGGUUCAGACUGACUCUGUGUAAUGAAGGUGUUCUCAUUCAGCAUCUUCAGCUCCCCGUUGUCUGGUAUCUUCCUCAGAUGUGUGUCUGAUAUCUGGGAAGUAACAAAAUGAAAAGCACCAAGUGUCCUGUCGGCUACACAUAUAUGUGCAUGUAGGGUGGUUUCAUCAUACACACACUGAUCUUUAGUUUUAUUUCAGACUGCUCUGGUAAAUGCAGCUUGUGUAGACGCUACUAUUAGUGUCACACUGUAUACCACUACUAGCAUAGUACUGUGAUAUCUGACUGUAAAAACAAUACUAAAUCCUGUUUCAUUACGUUUAAAAUGUAAUAAUAAAUGAGAACAUGCUCUCUGUAAAACAGCUUACAAUCUACAUUAUGGUAAUAAAUAUUUAUUGUUGUAAUAACGUUGUUAAUGUGAUGAAAAAUCUGGACAUGAACGGCUGGGUCAAGUGAACAACGGCUGUCAACCACAAGACAUUUAAACAAUUCCUGCAAAAGAGUCAAAGUGUGUGAUUAAAAUGUGCACUAAGAGCUUUUCUGAUUAAUAUAAGAAAGAAUUUUGGCAUUGCAACAAGUUUCUACUUGGUCAUUGACCUUAAAAGUUUGAGAAAAUUUUCAGAAAAGAGCAGUUACUGCAGCGGUGUCAAACGUACAGGACGAAUUUGUAAAGAGUAAAAAUUACAGAGAAGACGUUAACUGCAGAUUGUAAAUUAGUAAAACUAUAAAUUUAAAAUAAAUUGUAGAUCAUGACAAGUUGUUUUCAUCAUAAAGUAAAAUACUAGAUUGCUCACUGUUCUUUUGUCAUUUUGUGUCAUUUUUGUAAUAUUUUGUCUGCAUCUGCUGGAUGUCUAAAAAGACAAUAAUUUGCUAAUAUAUUAGCGAUAUUGGCUUUGAAUGUCAACUCUGUCUGAUUUUUAGCUUCCUGGAAAAGUUCUGCCCCCAUGUGGCCAAAAACAUCUGCCAAAUGCAGCUGUAAAUCUGCACACUUAUUGUUCCACCUGCAUGGAGAGCCUUAUCAGACUCAGCACUUUAGCAUGGAUUGAUAAACAAGGUGGUAACAUCUUUGCCAGAUGUGCUCCUCAAGCCAGAAGCAGAACAAACGAACAACAUGGAUGUCUUGCCCCCCGUCCACAAUAGAACUCCCAUGAGGCAACACACUCAUUCAGACAGCAGCUCCGUUUCAAUAUUCCCAUGAUGAAUUACUGUCAUUGUGUUGCAGGAAUUGGGAGCGCAGCCAGAGCCUAUUGAAGUUUUUCAAUGACAUUAGUGGAACAAUUGUAUCCCGGGAGAUCCUGGGGGCUGCACAGAAGGCAUUGUUCCCCAGGUGGCACAGCAGUGGGUCUGUGCCAGGCGUCCAGCUCUCAAUAUACCAUGACAAUAGGUGUUAAUUGAGGAUAUGAAGAAAGCCACUUCCUCAUGACUUUUACACGAGCGCCACACUUUCUGUCAUUAACCCUUCUAGAACCGGGAAGUUGGACUAAACGUGUCGUUGAUCGGAGCAGCUCGGUGAAGUUGCCGCAGGUUGUAUUUCAACCUGUCAAAACUUGGCUCGUGUACAACCAGGUUGUCUGACUGCUCGUGUUUCUCGUAAUGGGUCUUUAACAUGUCAGAGUAGGACAAACACAAGUGAUAGUAAAGUUAAUGAGGAGUGAAUGUUUUAUUUCUUCAUAGCUGAUGGGGAUAGUCAUCCAUAACAGACCAUUUCUUAGUAUUAUUAGUAACAAAUGUGCUGUUUGUUCUUCUGUCUGCUGUGAAAAGGCCUAAUUUGCUUUCUGAAAUAAAACAAAUGUACCCAAGUGGUGUUAAAGCAGAGCUGUCCUUCCAGUUAACUGGCAGUCAGAAGUCAGCAUGAAGGAAAACAUGUGUUUCCUCAAGCAGCAGAGAUGAAGAGGAAAGAAAAGGAAGGACUUCAGAUUCUCAUGAUUGAAGUAGAUGUCAAGGUUUGGGUGAAGCUGCUUGACCACUUUAUUUAUUAUCUCAUUCUUUUCCUGAGCAAGCUAAGGGAUUUUUCUAAUGUGUUUUUAAAGUGAAGGUCAAGUCACGUCCACAGAAUCUGAAACUGACCCAAGAUUUUAUUGUUUUAAGUGUAUAUGCUCAGACAUUUGUUUUUAAACUAUUUAAUGUUCUUUCACAGAUUUUUCCUGUUUUUGUAAAUUAACCCUCAUGUCGUCCUGCGGGUCAAACUUGACCUGGUUUAAAGUUUGAAAAUGUGAGGAAAAAUAUAUUUUUACAGUGAAACUUCUGAUGUCCACAUUUUUAAAAUUUUUGGGAAAUCUUUGAACAUUUUUUGUUGGAAAAAAGAAAUGUUAAAAAUGUUUCUUAACAACAUUCCCAAAAAAAUCAACCAAAAUCCAGCGAAUUUCGCUGGAUUUAGUUUUGUUUGGUAUGUUGUUUAAUUGUUUUUUACAGUUAAUGUUUUAAUCAAUACUUCUUUUGUGUUUUUACUGGUGGUAAUCUCUAAAAUAACAGUUAAUUGUAAAUUGCUGAUGGAUCAGGGUGCUUUACCGCCUUUCUCAAGCUAAUUUUUGCUCGUUCAGUAACAAUAGUGAGAUGGUUUCAGACCAACAGGAGUCCGGUUGGCUCGAAAUGUACUAAAUUAGUUUAUCAGCACAAUAUUGCACUGAGGUGAGAUGAUGAGUGGUUUAAUGUUAAUGUGGCUGAUCAUGAAACAACUCAGUUUUUCUCUACGUUUCAACAGGAAGCAAUGCGUAAAUUUCCAAGGAAUUCAAAGCUGAAUCAGAUCAUGGAGGCUGCAGGAUGAGGUCUUCACAGCUCACUGUCACCUCCAGGCGAAGUGAUGUGAUCCACAGCAACAUGUGCAGGUGGACAAACAGCCUCCUGGUAACGGGAGGAAGACCACACAUGGUCCAGGGGCCGACCAGACGCCCCGCUGCCGCACAUUUGUAGGACUGUAAUGGGAAUGAGUGUAAGCUACCAACAUGUGAGGCCGUAAAACAGCUCCAGCCCCAGCAGAACUUCAACACACCUCUGCCCCUCCAGAUGUGACCCUGAUGUGUUGGAAACACCAUGGGAAGAGCCUAAACAUCCAGCCAGGAACAGCUUUCUUCUGGCAUCUGGUGGAUCUGGUUUGCAGACCAGGUGACCACACUCUUUCGUCUGGACAGCAACAAGCAGCAGCAGCAGCAGCAGCAGCAGCUUUCCGUGAUGACCAGACGUAGAACUAAACAGGAAAUAUGGGAUUUUAAAGUUGGACCGCAGCAUUUACAGAGUGCGCUGGAAAACACAGCUUAAUUGAAAUGCUUCAGUCACCGGGCCAAAUCUUCAGACAGAGCAUCAUUCAUCUGAGAGCCGUCAUAUUUAAAGCUGGAUUUUAAUGAUGAAAUUCCACCAAAACAUGAUAAAUAAAUAAAAGGCCUAGUGUCUCACAUUUGCACUGGAGCGGAACUGAGUGCUCAAGUCUGAUUUCCUGAAAUAUCUAAAUCACGCUGCUGUCAGGAGAGGUGCUGGUGGUGGGAGAGCUCUGUAAGGAAACGCCUCACAGCGAGCGAGCUGGCAGUCGCUCUGUUUGGAUAAGCCUGCUGGGAUCUGGCCACGAAAAGAAAAAAGGGGCUUGGUUCCAAAAGCCAAAGUGAACUUCAUUAAAUCUGAUGAGAAAAUGAGAAAUUGAUGCCUUUGUCCAAAUGGAAAAAUCAUUUUAUCUGGAAGGAGUGUAUUCAUGGAGCACAGACAUCAGUAUUCAUCCCUGACAUCUGUAAAUCUGUGCAUUUUGUAUUCACUGGAGAAUAUUUCAUGAUAUUCCAUCAGCAGCUUGUUCUGAGCCUCAUUAGACGCAGCAUAUUCAACUGCAGUACAGUGGGUGUACUGGAUAAAGCCCACAAUGGCUCUUUUAGAAGAGGGGUUGUAAUUUUCUUGUCAUUUGCAUGCUGCGUUGAUGCACAAGUCUAUGAGGGAGCACACAGAGAUUCAAUCUCGCUCUACGUCAAGCGAAGUUUGUUUAAAAGGAAGAAACUGCGAGAAGGUUUUCUGUGAUCAAAGUCAUCCGCGAGAACCGAGCUUCGCCUCAAUUUCCAUGGAGGGGCUGAGAAUAAAUGCAUGUUCGCAGUCACGGUAAAUUUACAAACCAGCGAGGGAAAAUGAGAGCUUCGGCUGAGGAAAAGCUUAUGGAAUGAGGCGUUAAAUUAAAUCCAUUUGGACUGUUGACGUCACAGCCAUGCUUUCAACUGCGUCUUAAAAUGUUUGACAUAUUUCUCAGUGGGCCGAGAGAACGAACAUGUUGGCUGACUGCUUAGUAGAUGUUUGUAAUAAUAAGCAUAUUUGAAGCACGUUCAGUGACUGUUACAAGUGU